rnacentral:rRNA from 1 species
AGCAGCCGCGGUAAUUCCAGCUCCAAUAGCGUAUAUUAAAGUUGUUGCAGUUAAAAAGCUCGUAGUUGAACUUCGGGGUCUACCCAUUGGUCAGGCUUAUUGUCUGCACUGGUGAGAUGGAUCUCUACCUUCUGAGGAACUUUCAUGCCAUUUAUUUGGUGUGGUUGGAAAUCAGGACUGUUACUUUGAAAAAUUAGAGUGUUUAAAGCAGACUAUCGUCUGAAUACAUUAGCAUGGAAUAAUGAAAUAGGACGGACUGAUUCUAUUUCGUUGGUUUCUAGGAUCACCGUAAUGAUUAAUAGGGAUAGUUGGGGGCAGUUAGU